rnacentral:lncRNA from 1 species
CUCUUUGAAGGUGCAUAUUCAUACGUGGAAAAUGCUGCUGGACGAUACGUUGUGCGGCUGUAGCUCUUGCUGGGUGCAUAAUCAAGGGAGUAGCUCUCGAAGUCUGAGUCCUUAGAGUAUGUGGUCUCCGUCGUGGCUGGCGCAUAAUAUGUGGUCAUUGGCCUGUAAAGCGUUGUCCGGGGCCGGUAGUAAUACUGACGGGUUGAGUAUUCUCCAGCGUCCUUCGCGUAUGGUGCGUAAUCGGUGCUCCGGGUGUAGUAUGUAGUGAUCGGUCGGCUGUAGUAUGCCGUAGCUGGACGGUACGUCGUUCUGUAGCUGAAGUCAGGAAUGCUCUCUGUUUUGGUAGAUAAAGGAGCAGCGUAGGUGUCAGAUGUGUAGUGCGUUUUCGUCGAUGGGUAAUAGUACGACGUCUCGUAAUCGUAUUGCGAGUAUGUCGUGGGAGUGUACCAUGGCACCGAGUAGGAGUUCAACUUUGAGUACGAGGUCGCGGUCAUGUCAUAGGACGGUGAUGUUACCAGGCGGCUAUACACGCGUCUUUUCCGUCCCGCCUGUCGUGUUGCAGCGGAAGAUUUCAAGGUCUCCUCAUCCUUCGGCUUGAGUGAGUCCGCAGCUGCCGUGGGCGACUCUUCUGAGGCCUCCUCCGAGAAAGCCUCGAUUCCCUCCGCCUCCUCUGAGGAAAUGUCAACUUUUUCUGCCUCGACUCCAUGACUUUGUGAUGCCGGACUGGCAAUCGCAGGGGCAGCAAAAACUGCUGCGGGCAAAAGGGCCGUAAGCAGGGUCAAUGUGGCGAGAAGGAGCCUCAUACUGCAG